rnacentral:rRNA from 1 species
GACGAACGCUGGCGGCGUGCUUAAUGAAUGCGAGUCGAGCGGGAACUGGAUUCAAGAGGCCUUCGGGUUAGUUGAGCCCAGGGAGAGCGGCAAACGGGUGAGUAACACGUGGGUAACGUGCCCUGCAGAUGGGAAUAACAGACGGAAACGUCUGCUAAUACCCAAUGGUCAGAGGAAGUCACAUGGCUACCUCUGUAAAGCUCCGGCGCUGCAGGAUCGACCCGCGGUGGAUUAGCUUGUUGGUGAGGUAACGGCUCACCAAGGCGACGAUCCAUAGCCGGUCUGAGAGGAUGGCCGGCCACACUGGGACUGCGACAUGGUCCAGACUCCUACGGGAGUUAGCAUCAGGGAAUCUUGCACAAUGAGCGAAAGCUUGAUGCAGCGACGCCGCGUGAGGGAUGAAGGCCUGCGGGUCGUAAACCUCUGUCAGGAGGGACGAAACCACCCUUGUGGUGC